AAUCAGCGUACAGCGACGGGGACGUGUCCCUGAUGCGGUGCUGAGGGAACGGAGCCUCACCAAAAGCGGCCACAGAUGCCGGAAAGGUGAAAAAUAACUUUGACAGGUAGGGUUUGGUAGGACGGAAACGUCUCGAAGAAGCCGGGCCUG
rfam:Prevotella salivae DSM 15606 genomic scaffold SCAFFOLD1, whole genome shotgun sequence.